GCUAAACAUCAAAAUUGGAUUAUCAAAUACUCAUUUGAUAAUUAAGAUAAUAUUUUAAUAUUCAUUUACAAUUUAUUUACUCCAACCAUGGUUAUCUAAAUCAAUAAUCAAUUGGAAGUUUUUUAGUGGUUUUAUUUGUAAUUGCCACGUGUCAUUUUUUGAUUGGAUGUUUAGAUAGUUAUUUUUUUGAUAACUCAAU
rnacentral:lncRNA from 1 species